rnacentral:rRNA from 1 species
UACGAAGGUGGCAAGCGUUGUUCGGAUUUACUGGGCGUACAGGGAGCGUAGGCGGUUGGAUAAGCCCUCCGUGAAAUCUCCAGGCUUAACCUGGAAAGUGCAGAGGGGACUGUUCAGCUAGAGGAUGGGAGAGGAGCGCGGAAUUCCCGGUGUAGCGGUGAAAUGCGUAGAGGUCGGGAGGAAGGCCGGUGGCGAAGGCGGCGCUCUGGAACAUUUCUGACGCUGAGGCUCGAAAGCGUGGGGAGCAAACAGG